GGCCUUGACAUACUAAGAACUUUCCAGAGAUGGAUUGGUGCCUUCGGGAACUUAGAUACAGGUGCUGCAUGGCUGUCGUCAGCUCGUGUCGUGAGAUGUUGGGUUAAGUCCCGNAACGAGCGCAACCCUUUUCCUUAUUUGCCAGCGGGUCAUGCCGGGAACUUUAAGGAUACUGCCAGUGACAAACUGGAGGAAGGCGGGGACGACGUCAAGUCAUCAUGGCCCUUACGGCCAGGGCUACACACGUGCUACAAUGGUCGGUACAAAGGGUUGCUACCUCGCGAGAGGAUGCUAAUCUCAAAAAGCCGAUCGUAGCCCGGAUCGCAGUCUGCAACUCGACUGCGUGAAGUCGGAAUCGCUAGUAAUCGCGGAUCAGAAUGCCGCGGUGAAUACGUUCCCGGGCCUUGUACACACCGCCCGUCACACCAUGGGAGUUUGUUGCACCAGAAGUAGGUAGUCUAACCGCAAGGAGGACGCUUACCACGGUGUGGCCGAUGACUGGGGUGAAGUCGUAACAAGGUAAGCGUAGAUGA
rnacentral:rRNA from 1 species